UGCUCGCGUUAAGGAUGGAAGCGGUAUCCUUUUAUGUAGCGUAGCGGAAUAAAAGAUAUAGCGUACAGCCUGACCCCGC
rnacentral:sRNA from 1 species